UGUUCGUUAUAACCUUCUUUUCCUUAUAUUUAUGUGAGGCGGUUACUCCCUUGUUCGUUAUAGCCUUCUUUUCCUUAUAUUUAUGUGAGGCGGUUACUCCCUUGUUCGUUAUAGCCUUCAUCUUAUUAUAUUAAAGGUUACUCCCUUGUUCGUUAUAGCCUUCAUCUUAUUAUAUUAAAGGUUACUCCCUUGUUCGUUAUAGCCUUCAUCUUAUUAUAUUAAAGGUUACUCCCUUGUUCGUUGUAGCCUUCAUCUUAUUAUAUUAAAGGUUACUCCCUUCUUCGUUAUAGCCUUCAUCUUAUUAUAUUAAAGGUUACUCCCUUGUUCGUUGUAGCCUUCAUCUUAUUAUAUUAAAGGUUACUCCCUUGUUCGUUGUAGCCUUCAUCUUAUUAUAUUAAAGGUUACUCCCUUGUUCGUUAUAGCCUUCAUCUUAUUAUAUUAAAGGUUACUCCCUUCUUCGUUGUAG